rnacentral:rRNA from 1 species
GGAGAGCGGCGGACGGGUGAGUAACGCGUGGGAAACCUGCCUUGAACAAGGGAAUAGCCUCGGGAAACCGGGAUUAAUACCCUAUGACGCCUUAAUAUCACAUGAUAUAUAGGUCAAAACUUCGGUGGUUCAAGAUGGUCCCGCGUCCCAUUAGCUAGUUGGUGAGAUAAAAGCUCACCAAGGCCACGAUGGGUAGCCGGCCUUAGAGGGUGAACGGCCACACUGGAACUGAGACACGGUCCAGACUCCUACGGGAGGCAGCAGUGGGGAAUAUUGCACAAUGGAGGGAACUCUGAUGCAGCGACGCCGCGUGAGUGAUGAAGGUUUUCGGAUCGUAAAGCUCUGUCCUUGGGGAAGAUAAUGACGGUACCCAAGGAGGAAGCCCCGGCUAACUACGUGCCAGCAGCCGCGGUAAUACGUAGGUGACAAGCGUUGUCCGGAAUUAUUGGGCGUAAAGGGAGCGCAGGCGGUUGGAAUAGUCUGAUGUGAAAGCCCACGGCUUAACCGUGGAAGGUCAUUGGAAACUGUCCAACUUGAAUGCAGAAGAGGUAAGUGGAAUUCCAUGUGUAGCGGUGAAAUGCGUAGAUAUAUGGAGGAACACCAGUGGCGAAGGCGACUUACUGGUCUGUGAUUGACGCUGAGGCUCGAAAGCGUGGGUAGCGAACAGGAUUAGAUACCCUGGUAGUCCACGCCGUAAACGAUGAGUGCUAAGUGUUGGAGGGUUUCCGCCCUUCAGUGCUGGAGUUAACGCAU